CCGCCAUAUAGAAAAAGAGCACUCGCUCCCUAAUAUCAAAUUCUCACGAGAAGGUUGUCAAGUUUUACUUUGCUGAACCAUCAUCCUGUUGGACCCCAGGUGUGGGGAUGUCUGAAAACUACUAGGCAACCUACAGGUCACCAAAUUCCGAGAGACAUGGUUGUUUAACUACCAGUCCCUUGUUCUUGGUUCAUCUAGUUUUGAGCAGCACGAAAUGCCAAGCAGAUGCACAGAUAACAAAAAGAACAAAUGUAGGGGGAGGAGGCAAGGGUGUUAAUGCAGGAGAACAAAUAUUUAAAGUCUCGAGAAUGGAUAAUACCAAAUUAAACCAUUUCUCAUCAUCUUCAAUGGUGGUCCGACAUAUCUGCCUACAGCAUUAUCUUGGUAAUACACGAAUUUCGAAGCUACAACAACAAAAAAAACUAAAGACAAUUUGUUAGAACUAUAACUUUACUCUCAGCACUACUGACCCAAACAUAUGACUUACCAAAACCAAUAUACCUUGCAACAAAAAAAAAAAAAGAUUUUAAAACUAACCCCAAAGCUUUGAUCAAGAAUAACAAUAUAACAGUUGCAGAUCUUGAAAUGACCUUACCAUAAUGCCUAAUGGGUAUCAAGAUACCAUUUUCUAGACUAUGUGGGAUUUUGACCAUUGAAUCUAAAAGUCUUUCUCGUCCUCCGUAUGUCAUAUUCUGCACCUAGAAAUAAAUUUAUCUUUAAUUCAUCAGGGACCUAUCCUGCAAUUCCAAUAAUCCUGGUUAUGUUUCAGGGACUCAUUCAUUUAUGGAUAAAGUAUUCUUGGGAAUCUCCUGAAAAAGGGAAAAGUCCUUGAAAUUUUUUUGGCUAUGAUAUUAUCUCAGUGGUGCAUGAAUAUCUCUGUGAUUCACGUUUGGAAGAGUAGAAAUUGGCCCAGAAAUUAUGGUUUAACCCAUAUUAAACAACUAUAGCCAUCCUAGACCAUCAAAUAUCCAUCAGUCUUCAUAUUAAACUGCAGCAAAAGAAAAUAGUUCUGCCAAAUAGCCUGGUCAGGGUUAAUCAACGAUGCUAGUUGAGAUGGAAAGAAUCUAGGCUACAUCUUCAAGGAAGGUUUUUCUACCACCUUCAUUGGAAGCUCUCAACAUAAUUCCAGCAAGAACUUUCAAGUUCAAUCAAAAGGUAACUUUCUUCUACAAGAACUUGCAGUUUUGUUUUGCUUAAAGCAUGUUCAUAAUCUACUACAUCGAGCUUAAAAAUUACUUUUAGCAUAACACCAAAUUCCAGCAAACAGAAUCUAGACAAUAGCUUUCACGAAGGCACAAAAAAAAAAAA